UUAAAAAUUUUCUUUUAAUUUUAAAAAAUUCUUUUUUCUAUGAAGGGUAUGCGAUGAAAAUGUAAAGCCAUUUUAUUUUCUGUCGAUUAUCCUUUAUUAAAUUUGUCAUAUAUUGCGACAGGUAUGAAAAAAUAGAAUUAUGUACAUCUUAUCUUCAUUCGAUACAUUCAUUCGACACGUUCAUUCAUACAACUAGAAUUCUUCUCAUUUGAAGAAACAACUAUCUACCGUGCCCAAAUCAGGCAUUUGUAUUAUUGAACAUUACAACCUUUCUAUUUCUCUAUUUUAUAAACAAAUAUCGAACGGAAAACGCAUGGUAAUCGGGAUCGAUGAAAUACUUUGAAGUACAUAUAAUUAUUACCAUUACGAAUAUUACUCCACGUUAAAAAUUCUAACAUGUCGGAAAACUACCUUAUAGUAUUACAAAAUUUAAUAUAUUUUACGUCAGGUUUCACACAGUUGAAUGAGAACAACGUCCCACACGAAUAAAAGAAAAAACAUAAUAACAAUAUACAGUGGCCUUAAUUAAAUAAAAUAUCGCCUACCGUCACUGUACAUUAAAAAUAUAUACAAUAUAUAUAAUAUAGUACACGAAGCUUGUCAAUAAGCAGUCAGCGAGCAAGUAUCGAAAUUAAUGACGCCGAUAACGCUUGGUGAUUAAAAUUAUUUCACCGGGAUCUAUUCAAUAUCAGUCUUCAACGGUCUACUCAGCAACGCCAUGCAGAUAGUCAUUCAUUCCUAAUCGAAACGAAUGAUUAAUCUCGUUCUAGAACAGGUUCCGAAAAGUAUGGCCUCCGGAAUGCGUUUGCGGCGGUUCAAAUGGUGUAAGGACGGUCGUGUAUCACACUUCCUUUGCGGAAGUGGAAGCGCCACCGUCGACAGCGUCCUGCGCCGCCGCAAUGGCCGCUCUCUGUUCAGCGGCGGCGCUACGCGUAAAACGUCUUGUCGACGCUGGAAACUCAGGGAUUGGCUCAACCGUCCUCUCGGGAGUUGCGGCCUUAACUCUGUUGUUGCGUUUCGGUUUCUGGUUCUCCGUGAGAACACGCUGACGGUUGAGCUCUUUCCCCUCCGCAGUCCGCUUCCAUUUAUAGUAAUAUACGACGAUUUCUCCCUGCAACAUUAUAAAAAAAAAAGCUUUGAACAUAUCGUGCAUGAAAAAUAUACGUACGAUUAUUUUUUUGGAGGAACGAUCAACCGCGAAGCAUGGAUUUAUCAACGUGUUUACUUCAAGAAGAAAACUUCUGUUCGACUUUCAAGGUCUUCCUAGAAUCGAACGAUCGAAAAUAGUGGUAGAUCUCGAAGCGAUGAUUACUCGAAAGAGCAGAGAUAAUAGAAAUAAUGAUAAUAAGCAAGAAAAAAGAAAAGGAAAAAUCUGACGAUGAAAUUGAACUUACCCUGGUCUUUUCCGGCAAAUAUUGCUUUCUUAAAGAGGCAAAAUCCUUGCCGUGUACUACAUAACCUGCGGCGAACAGCUUCUGAAAAAUAUAACAUAAUAUUAUAGAAUA